GCCUAGCCGUAAAUAUAGGCAGCCCCGUACCUCGCUGCUCGCCAGGGGACUACAAGCCCCAGCUUAAAACCCAAAGGACUUGGCGGUGCUUUAGACCCCCCUAGAGGAGCCUGUUCCAGAAUCGAUGCCCCCCGAUCUACCUCACCCUCCCUUGUUCUUUCCGCCUAUAUACCGCCGUCGUCAGCUUACCCUGUGAAGGCUAAACAGUAAGCGCAAUUGGCAUGCCCCAAAACGUCAGGUCAAGGUGUAGCUAAUGGGAGGGAGGCAAUGGGCUACAUUUACUGUCUCAGUAAAUACGGAUUUUGCCCUGAAAAAGCAUCUGAAGGAGGAUUUAGCAGUAAGGCGGGAGUAGAGUGCCCCCCUGAAGACGGCCCUGAAGCGCGCACACACCGCCCGUCACUCUCCCCAACGGUCAACCUACCAUAAUUAAUAUGAGCCCACCACAAAGGGGAGGCAAGUCGUAACAUGGUAAGCGUACCGGAAGGUGCGCUUGGAAAAA
rnacentral:rRNA from 1 species